rnacentral:rRNA from 1 species
CCUAUGGGAGGCAGCAGUAGGGAAUCUUGCGCAAUGGGCGAAAGCCUGACGCAGCCAUGCCGCGUGGAUGAUGAAGGUCUUAGGAUUGUAAAAUCCUUUCAGCGGGGACGAUAAUGACGGUACCCGCAGAAGAAGCCCCGGCUAACUUCGUGCCAGCAGCCGCGGUAAUACGAAGGGGGCUAGCGUUGCUCGGAAUUACUGGGCGUAAAGGGCGCGUAGGCGGAUAUUUAAGUUGGGGGUGAAAGCCCGGGGCUCAACCUCGGAAUUGCCUUCAAUACUGGAUAUCUUGAGUACGGGAGAGGUGAGUGGAACUCCGAGUGUAGAGGUGAAAUUCGUAGAUAUUCGGAAGAACACCAGAGGCGAAGGCGGCGCACUGGACAGCAACUGACACUCAACUGCGAAAGCGUGGGGAGCAAACAGGAUUAGAUACCCAUGUAGUCC